GGUGGCUCAGUGGUAGAGUUCUUGCCCUGAAUGCAUGAGGCCCUGGGUUCAAUUCCUCAGCACCA
rnacentral:tRNA from 1 species